rfam:Myotis lucifugus cont2.8373, whole genome shotgun sequence.
GCCCGUUUGGCUCAGUAGAUAGAGUGUCAGCCUGCGGACUGAAGGGUGCCAGGUUCAAUUCUGGCCAAGGGCA